CUAUGCGCCUUGCCAGCCCGCUCAGUCAGAGUUUGAUCCUGGCUCAGCAGAUCGAUUAUGGAGUGCCGAGCGUCUGUCGACAUUAUCCAAUUCACUCUUGAGAGUGACACAGCAGCUGUUAUCCGCCAUACCAUUGAUGAUGUCAAGGAGGACAUUGCCGCGAGGUUUGCG
rnacentral:rRNA from 1 species